CAACCGUGUGUAUCGCCAAAGCCUCCUGUUUAACGAGACACUGUAUUUUAAUACCACAAGACCAGCCAUUGCAACCGUGUGUAGAAAACCCGCAUACAUGUUUAAUCAUGGGUUUGUUGUUUUAACUCCGGUUAAGUAUUUCAUGAACACUUCACGGGUCUGGUUUGUCUACUGUAUAAACAUACUGACUAAACAGCACGUGACGGAUAUUGAAGUAUUUGGUGUUGACAUGACCCCUGCUACAGUGGACUGGAUGGACAUCUCUGACAGUGAUUACAAAGUGGGAAAAACUUGUUCAAACGGACUUUACUUUGUCCGCUCUGCCAACAGAUUCACAGUGUAUGCGUUUCAGAACGACAUUACUAAUGGAGGCUACCGUUUCCCUACUGAUCCACCAACCGCUGCAGGGGACAUCAUGAUUGAAGAGUUUGUGUGUGAAGUGCUGGAAGAAGAUGAGUGCAUGUUGGUAUCAGUUGUGGCAACUUCUGUCUAUUGUCACGUACUCCAACGCGUGUCACCCUUUGUCACUUACCUCUAACCACGGGAAUACGUUAACAUUGCUUCUGUCUUUAAUCCAGCAUCAGUGCUACACUGGCUUUCCCACGCUACACGCUGUCAAUACGUCACUGACUCAUCUACGCUAUAUGUAGUCAGUACGUCAAGGGUUAAUCUAAACUACUGGGCAAAAGAAAGUUAUCACUGAUUGUAUAUUUAAAAAAUAGCUGGUACCGAUUUGAACCCAAGCAGAUAACGUUCGACAAAACGCAACAUGGUCACGAUAACAACACAUCUUCUUCCGAUUCGUUUUCUAAACGUGGAAUACGUAAUUGUGAAACAUUGGUCCAAAUGACCUGCAUAAAUGUGGCAUAGAUACCGAGCAAUAGAUACCGUUAUUUAACAAACAAAAAAAAACCCCACGAAUAUGCUAUACCUACGUACGCAAGCGCAACGAGACAGGACGAUCGGUAUGGCCAAAAUGGGAGCUUCACAACGUCAGCUGGCAUGAACCACCAGUCCACCAUUAGCAAAUUGAUAAGCCGCUACCAGCAAACAGGCCAGGCCUAAGACCCCCCUCAAGGUCGGGAACACCAGCAGUCACGACACCUGCCGAAGACGGCUACAUCCGUCAGAUCCACCUUCGUAACAGAUUCGUAACGGCGCCAGCACUAGGACACGCCAUCAGCAGACGAGCAGUCCUUCAACGACGUGGUAUGGCCUUGGCCUUGACCCGUCUACAACGUCAACACAGACUGCAAUGGACACGAACUGUACGUCGGUGGCAGCGACGUGACUGAGAGAGGGCUCUUUACAGUUGAAACUCGGCUCGGUUCACAAAUGAUGGCAGAAUUCGAGUGUUCUUUACGUAGAAUACAGCGAAUGGCAGAAAACUUGUUAAUGUUGAAACCUUGAACCCUGUCAAUGAAUUGCGGCAAAUGCAAGACCAGCGUUACAAUGAAUUUUCAGUCAAAUGAUUGGAAAAUGAAUUCUGUUUGUAAAAUAAUUAUCAUAGAUCUCACGUACGUCUUUGUUUCUAUUUUUGGUCACGUGAAGUCGGUGAUCACUUUCUUUGCCCGGUAGUUUAUGAUAUACGUAGAUAUCGCUGGUUCGCGCAAUACAGCUUCAAUAUAUAAUGGCCUCUGUACGCUAUACAUUGUGUCCUUUUCACAGGUCUGUAUACAUGCUAGUUUAAAUGUUCUCCAAUCAGGAGAUAUCAAUGUUUAACACCGCCUAUAGAAAUAUAUGCUAUCAGAAGGCUAUAACAACAAGAUUGUCCUUGUGAUCAAUAUUAUUACAAGAAUUAUUACAUUUUCUAAAGACAGAUACCCUGGAACAUUACAAACAUUUAUGUAACGGACAUCUUGUCAUGUUACAAUGUUGUACACAUUGCUAGGUUCAUGGUACUAUCAUUCAGCUGUGAAUUUGCCUCAUUCAUUAUAAACACUCUCAUCUAUAUUAACAUAUAUAAAUGUUGAAUAUGUUAUCUAACAAAUAUUUGAAUUGAGUAACAUAUUUCAGAACCUUGUGUUAUCUUCCCCUACAAUAUCAGUUUAUGGAUAGUAUAAUUAUGUAUAGUCUUUAAAGCUGAACACUGUUUAACACUUGAUCAAAAUAAUAAUUUAUGAGAUUGUUGUACAUUAAUUGCACUAUAUUUUCUUCUCUCCACAAUCUACUUGCCACAUUUAAUGUACAGGUGUUGCUGAAAGGUAAUAUGAUUUGUUACACUUCUCGUACAUCCUACAGAGGAAGAUCUCGUUUGUACCUUCUACACUAACUGAAGCCUGAUUCGUGUAUUCAAUACUGUAUCCAGGAAUUGGCAUGCAUUUAGGGGUUUUAGACUGACGUGAUACGGAUUGACAGGGGUUCAGACUAACGGUGUCGGAUUGACAGGGGUUCAGACUAACGGUGUCGGAUUGACAGGGGUUCAGACUAACGGUGUCCGGAUUGACAGGGGUUCAGAUUGACAGGGGUCCACAUUUUCUGUUAUCUUUUCUAAAACAAGUGUUUUAUUUUAUCUUCACGAAGAUUGCGCUAUUAUUAUUCAGAAAUAUAUUGAAUAAUAUAACUGUUGGACAAUAACGACAUAUAAUACAUGUAAUAACAAAUGGUACUCAUCCUCAAACCUGUUAAUUAGCUCAGAUACUUCACAAAAAACGGCAAUAUUUGUAAUUCCUAUAUAACUCAUAUUAGCAUAACGGCCAGUUUCUAGUUUUAACUUGUUAGCAAAUAUUCUGAGCAUAGUGUGCACAUGUGAAAUGUCUAGGUACAUUUGGUAACUGAUAAUAGAUUUGAUAUUACCAUAAAGAUAACGUUUUGAUGAGUGAUGGCCAUAUUGACAAUUCCUUUCUUAUAUGUAAUUAUUUUAAAUUAUAUUACUUUUUUGGGGUGUUUCAUUGCCUGAUUAUCUGUUGACCAAUAUCCCUUUCUCUUAUAGUUGUAGUCAAUGCCAUAUGUUUAUAUCGUACAUUUUGUUUAUGCUGUAGGUCUCCUGGACAAGCCACGCUUGAAAAGUCGAAAGUUGAGAAAUGGCUGAAAACUUGGAAACAUGUGAUACACAUUCCAUUUGGACUUUUGAGAAUAUGAUUGUUUACCCAUUGAUGUUAAUUGCUUCUUUUAUUAAAACAUUUCUGUGUGA